GACGAACGCUGUUGGCGUGCUUAACACAUGCAAGUCGAACGGAAAGGCCCUGCUUUUGUGGGGUGCUCGAGUGGCGAACGGGUGAGUAACACGUGAGUAACCUGCCCUUGACUUUGGGAUAACUUCAGGAAACUGGGGCUAAUACCGGAUAGGAGCUCCUGCUGCAUGGUGGGGGUUGGAAAGUUUCGGCGGUUGGGGAUGGACUCGCGGCUUAUCAGCUUGUUGGUGGGGUAGUGGCUUACCAAGGCUUUGACGGGUAGCCGGCCUGAGAGGGUGACCGGCCACAUUGGGACUGAGAUACGGCCCAGACUCCUACGGGAGGCAGCAGUGGGGAAUAUUGCACAAUGGGCGGAAGCCUGAUGCAGCAACGCCGCGUGCGGGAUGACGGCCUUCGGGUUGUAAACCGCUUUCGCCUGUGACGAAGCGUGAGUGACGGUAAUGGGUAAAGAAGCACCGGCUAACUACGUGCCAGCAGCCGCGGUGAUACGUAGGGUGCGAGCGUUGUCCGGAUUUAUUGGGCGUAAAGGGCUCGUAGGUGGUUGAUCGCGUCGGAAGUGUAAUCUUGGGGCUUAACCCUGAGCGUGCUUUCGAUACGGGUUGACUUGAGGAAGGUAGGGGAGAAUGGGAUUCCUGGUGGAGCGGUGGAAUGCGCAGAUAUCAGGAGGAACACCAGUGGCGAAGGCGGUUCUCUGGGCCUUUCCUGACGCUGAGGAGCGAAAGCGUGGGGAGCGAACAGGCUUAGAUACCCUGGUAGUCCACGCUGUAAACGGUGGGUACUAGGUGUGGGGUCCAUUCCACGGGUUCCGUGCCGUAGCUAACGCUUUAAGUACCCCGCCUGGGGAGUACGGCCGCAAGGCUAAAACUCAAAGGAAUUGACGGGGCCCCGCACAAGCGGCGGAGCAUGCGGAUUAAUUCGAUGCAACGCGUAGAACCUUACCUGGGUUUGACAUGGAUCGGGAGUGCUCAGAGAUGGGUGUGCCUCUUUUGGGGUCGGUUCACAGGUGGUGCAUGCCUGUCGUCAGCUCGUGUCGUGAGAUGUUGGGUUAAGUCCCGCAACGAGCGCAACCCUUGUUCACUGUUGCCAGCACGUUAUGGUGGGGACUCAGUGGAGACCGCCGGGGUCAACUCGGAGGAAGGUGGGGAUGACGUCAAGUCCUCAUGCCCCUUAUGUCCAGGGCUUCACGCAUGCUACAAUGGCUGGUACAGAGAGUGGCGAGCCUGUGAGGGUGAGCGAAUCUCGGAAAGCCGGUCUCAGUUCGGAUUGGGGUCUGCAACUCGACCUCAUGAAGUCGGAGUCGCUAGUAAUCGCAGAUCAGCAACGCUGCGGUGAAUACGUUCCCGGGGCU
rnacentral:rRNA from 1 species